GGACCCAUAGCUCAGCGGUAGAGCAUCUGAUUCCAGCUUUAAACCUUACAAAUUACAGCUGCCUCCAGAAGGUCAUCCGUUCAAAUCGGGUUGGGUUCA